UACGUAGGGACCAAGCGUUGUCCGGAAUCAUUGGGCGUAAAGCGCGCGUAGGUGGCUUCGUAAGUCCGUUGUGAAAGUCAAAGGCUCAACCUUUGAAAGCCGAUGGAUACUGCGGAGCUAGAGUACGGAAGAGGCGAGUGGAAUUCCUGGUGUAGCGGUGGAAUGCGCAGAUAUCAGGAGGAACACCAAUAGCGAAGGCAGCUCGCUGGGACGUUACUGACACUGAGGCGCGAAAGCGUGGGAGCGAACAGG
rnacentral:rRNA from 1 species